ACAAACUUGGUCAUUUAGAGGAAGUAAAAGUCGUAACAAGGUUUCCGUAGGUGAACCUGCGGAAGGAUCAUUAUUGAAUACUCCUUGAUAGGUUGUAGCUGGUCCUUUGGGACAAUGUGCACACCUGUCUUGAUUCUAUUCAUCCACCUGUGCACCAUUUGUAGUCUUUUGAGGGCCGAAAACAGUUGACCCCAUCGAUCGAGAGGUCGGAUAAGAGGAUUGCAUGUAUGCAAAAUGCUGCUUUCCUCAAUCAUCAACUUGUGACCUCCCUCAAAGUCUAUGUCUUUUAAUCAUAAACCUAUGUAUAUAUCUGAAUGUUGUCAGUAAACAGGCCCUGUGCCUCUAAAACCAUAUACAACUUUCAGCAACGGAUCUCUUGGCUCUCGCAUCGAUGAAGAACGCAGC
rnacentral:misc_RNA from 1 species